CACGCUGUAAACGGUGGGCACUAGGUGUGGGAUCCUUUCCAUGGGUUCUGUGCCGUAGCUAACGCAUUAAGUGCCCCGCCUGGGGAGUACGGCCGCAAGGCUAAAACUCAAAGGAAUUGA
rnacentral:rRNA from 1 species